GGAGAGGUGCCAGAGUGGUCGAAUGGGGUGGUCUCGAAAACCACUGUCCAGCUUGCUGGACCUAGGGUUCGAAUCCCUACCUCUCCG
rnacentral:tRNA from 1 species